GGCCGUGAGGGCGAACAGGCUGUGACAGUUUUCACUCCAUUGAUCUCCAGGGUUGAAGCUGAUCUAGCUGAUCUGGAUGAUUCCCCUAUAUCCCUCAGCGCCCCAUGUGCAUCCCUCUUGAAGCUGCAAGCUUGGUGGAAGAGGACAGCCUUUCCCAGAUAGACCAUUCUGUCACGAGUAUAGGGGUAGCCGCAUUCGCCUGCUACACCCUCCAGGAAGCUCUCAGGGAGUAUUUCCUAAGUAAAGAAUCAAGCGCGGCCCCAAAACAAAACAAAAAACAAAGCCUGUGUGUGUUU
rnacentral:snRNA from 1 species